rnacentral:rRNA from 1 species
UCUCCGUUGGUGAACCAGCGGAGGGAUCAUUACCGAGUGUAAAAACUCCCAAACCAUUGUGAACCUACCACUGUUGCUUCGGCGGCCUCGCCCCGGGCGCGUUCGCGCGGCCCGGACCCAGGCGUCCGCCGGAGGCUCCAAACUCUUGUCUUUUAGUGUAUUUCUGAGUGGCAUAAGCAAAUAAAUCAAAACUUUCAGCAACGGAUCUCUUGGUUCUGGCAUCGAUGAAGAACGCAGCAAAAUGCGAUAAGUAAUGUGAAUUGCAGAAUUCAGUGAAUCAUCGAAUCUUUGAACGCACAUUGCGCCCGCCAGUAUUCUGGCGGGCAUGCCUGUCUGAGCGUCAUUUCAACCCUCAGGACCCGUUCGCGGGACCUGGCGUUGGGGAUCAGCCUGCCCCUGGCGGCGGCUGGCCCUGAAAUCCAGUGGCGGUUCCCUCGCGAACUCCUCCGUGCAGUAAUUAAACCUCUCGCGGCAGGAUAGCGGUUGAACCACGCCGUUAAACCCCCACUUCUCAAGGUUGACCUCAGAUCAGGUAGGAAUACCCGCUGAACUUAAGCAUAUCAAUAAG